UGCAAGACCAUCAGUCUCUAGAACUUUCUGU
rnacentral:piRNA from 1 species